rnacentral:rRNA from 1 species
GACGAACGCUGGCGGCGUGCUUAACACAUGCAAGUCGAACGGAAAGGCCUGCUUUCCCUUGUGGAUUGCGGGUACUCGAGUGGCGAACGGGUGAGUAACACGUGAGUGAUCUGCCCCCAACUUGGGUAUAAGCCUGGGAAACUGGGUCUAAUUCCCGAUAGGACUGCAGGGUGGUGCCUGUGGUGGAAAACGAUUUUCUAGUGGUUGGGGAUGAGCUCGCGGCCUAUCAGCUUGUUGGUGGGGUAAUGGCCUACCAAGGCGGCGACGGGUAGCCGGCCUGAGAGGGUGGACGGCCACAUUGGGACUGAGAUACCGGCCAGACUCCUACGGGAGGCAGCAGUGGGGAAUAUUGCACAAUGGGCGGAAGCCUGAUGCAGCGACGCCGCGUGGGGGAUGACGGCCUUCGGGUUGUAAACUCCUUUCGACCGCGAGGAAGCCACCUGGUUGGAAGGGUGGUGACGGUAGUGGUAGAAGAAGCACCGGCUAACUACGU